rnacentral:rRNA from 1 species
UACGUAGGGUGCGAGCGUUAAUCGGAAUUACUGGGCGUAAAGCGUGCGCAGGCGGUUCUGAAAGUCAGCUGUGAAAGCCCCGGGCUUAACCUGGGAACUGCAUUUGUGACUGCAUCGCUGGAGUGCGGCAGAGGGGGAUGGAAUUCCGCGUGUAGCAGUGAAAUGCGUAGAUAUGCGGAGGAACACCGAUGGCGAAGGCAAUCCCCUGGGCCUGCACUGACGCUCAUGCACGAAAGCGUGGGGAGCAAACAGG